UACGGGGGGGGGCAAGCGUUGUUCGGAAUUACUGGGCGUAAAGGGCUCGUAGGCGGCCAACUAAGUCAGACGUGAAAUCCCUCGGCUUAACCGGGGAACUGCGUCUGAUACUGGAUGGCUUGAAUCCGGGAGAGGGAUGCGGAAUUCCAGGUGUAGCGGUGAAAUGCGUAGAUAUCUGGAGGAACACCGGUGGCGAAGGCGGCAUUCUGGACCGAAACUGACGCUGAGGCGCGAAAGCCAGGGGAGCAAACGGG
rnacentral:rRNA from 1 species